AUUGAACGCUGGCGGCAUGCCUUACACAUGCAAGUCGAACGGCAGCACGGGUGCUUGCACCUGGUGGCGAGUGGCGAACGGGUGAGUAAUACAUCGGAACAUGUCCUGUAGUGGGGGAUAGCCCGGCGAAAGCCGGAUUAAUACCGCAUACGAUCUACGGAUGAAAGCGGGGGACCUUCGGGGCUCGCGCGAUAGGGUUGGCCGAUGGCUGAUUAGCUAGUUGGUGGGGUAAAGGCCUACCAAGGCGACGAUCAGUAGCUGGUCUGAGAGGACGACCAGCCACACUGGGACUGAGACACGGCCCAGACUCCUACGGGAGGCAGCAGUGGGGAAUUUUGGACAAUGGGCGAAAGCCUGAUCCAGCAAUGCCGCGUGUGUGAAGAAGGCCUUCGGGUUGUAAAGCACUUUUGUCCGGAAAGAAAUCCUUGGCCCUAAUACGGUCGGGGGAUGACGUUACCGGAAGAAUAAGCACCGGCUAACUACGUG
rnacentral:rRNA from 1 species